rnacentral:rRNA from 1 species
UACGUAGGGGGCUAGCGUUGUCCGGAAUCAUUGGGCGUAAAGCGCGCGUAGGCGGCCCGGUAAGUCCGCUGUGAAAGUCAAAGGCUCAACCUUUGAAUGUCAGCGGAUACUGCCGGGCUAGAGUUCGGAAGAGGCGAGUGGAACUCCUGGUGUAGCGGUGGAAUGCGCAGAUAUCAGGAAGAACACCAACGGCGAAGGCAGCUCGCUGGGACGGUACUGACGCUGAGACGCGAAAGCGUGGGGAGCGAACAGG